rnacentral:rRNA from 1 species
UACGUAGGGUGCAAGCGUUGUCCGGAAUUAUUGGGCGUAAAGGGCUCGUAGGCGGUCCGUCACGUCGGCUGUGAAAACCCGGGGCUCAACCCCGGGCCUGCAGCCGAUACGGGCAGACUAGAGUUCGGCAGGGGAGACUGGAAUUCCUGGUGUAGCGGUGAAAUGCGUAGAGAUCGGCAGGAACACCCAGGGGGAAACCAGUCGACUGGGCAGCACCUGACGCUGAGGUGCGAGAGCGUGGGGAGCGAACCGG